AAUGAGGUGUAUCACUAUGGGGCCUUUCCUGUAGCAGCACGUUGUUGAAAACAUCUCAUAGAGUAACUUUGUGGUUUUGUUUUCCUCAAAGGACUAUUAAGUCUCUGGGAAAAAAACUUCAAGACAGUU
ensembl:snoRNA